rnacentral:rRNA from 1 species
GCCCUUAGAGUUUGAUCAUGGCUCAGGACGAACGCUGGCGGCGUGCUUAACACAUGCGAGUCGAGGGGACCUCCGUCAUUACCCUUCGGGGUAAUGACGGGUCAGGUUAACCGGCGGACGGGUGAGUAACACGUGGAUAACCUACCCAGGGGUUAGGGAUAACAGCUCGAAAGGGCUGCUAAUACCUAAUACGCCCAUCUAUCUGCCUGGAUAGAUGGGGAAAGGCUUUUAAAGUCGCCCUUGGCUGGGUCCGCGGCCCAUUAGCUAGUUGGUAGGGUAAUGGCCUACCUAGGCGACGAUGGGUAGCCGGCCUUAGCGGGUGGUCGGUCACACUGGGACUGAGACACGGCCCAGACUCCUACGAGAGGCAGCAGUGGGGAAUCUUGCGCAAUGGGGGAAACCCUGACGCAGCGACGCCGCGUGAGUGAAGACGGCCUUCGGGCUGUAAAGCUCUUUAUAGGGGGAAGAUACAGACGGUACCCCUUCAAAAAGCCCCGGCCAACUACGUGCCAGCAGCCGCGGUAACACGUAGGGGGCAAGCGUUGUCCGGAAUUACUGGGCGUAAAGGGCACGCAGGCGGUUAUGUAAGUCAGGUGUGAAAUUUUGUGGCUCAACCGCAAAUUGGCAUCUGAAACUGCAUAACUUGAGUACAGGAGAGGGGUGUGGAAUUCCCGGUGUAGCGGUGAAAUGCGUAAAUAUCGGGAGGAACACCAGUGGCGAAGGCGACACCCUGGCCUGUAACUGACGCUGAGGUGCGAAAGCGUGGGGAGCGAACAGGAUUAGAUACCCUGGUAGUCCACGCUGUAAACGCUGGGUACUAGGUGUUGGGGGGGUUUCA